rnacentral:lncRNA from 1 species
AUAGAACAAAACAUUGGAGACCCGUCGAGAGAUUUCACAUGGAUAACUAUCUGAGUGUCAGUGGCUAAUUUCUAACGUUCGGUAGUGGAAUUGGUCCUUUGACUUGAGGUCGUCAUGGUACCUUAUAUGAGGACAGUCAUACUUUGGUGGUGUUGGAUGUUGCUCUGAAAAGGGCCGCUAAUACGAUAUCGUUCGGGUACUUCAAGAAUCGUAUGAAGGUUGUGAUUGAUC